GAUGAACGCUAGCUACAGGCUUAACACAUGCAAGUCGAGGGGAAACGACAUCGAAAGCUUGCUUUUGAUGGGCGUCGACCGGCGCACGGGUGAGUAACGCGUAUCCCACCUGCCCACCACUUGGGGAUAACCUUGCGAAAGUAAGACUAAUACCCAAUGAUAUCUCUAGAAGACAUCUGAAAGAGAUUAAAGAUUUAUCGGUGAUGGAUGGGGAUGCGUCUGAUUAGCUUGUUGGCGGGGUAACGGCCCACCAAGGCAACGAUCAGUAGGGGUUCUGAGAGGAAGGUCCCCCAGAUUGGAACUGAGACACGGGCCAAACUCCUACGGGAGGCAGCAGUGAGGAAUAUUGGUGAAUGGACGAGAGUCUGAACCAGCCAAGUAGCGUGCAGGAAGACGGCGCUAUGGGUUGUAAACUGCUUUUAUAAGGGAAUAAAGUGAGUCUCGUGAGACUUUUUGCAUGUACCUUAUGAAUAAGGACCGGCUAAUUCCGUG
rnacentral:rRNA from 1 species